rnacentral:rRNA from 1 species
CACCUGUUUAACAAAAACAUGUCUUUUUGAAAUAAAUUUAAAGUCUGACCUGCCCACUGAAAUUUUUAAAUGGCCGCAGUAUUCUAACUGUGCAAAGGUAGCAUAAUCAUUAGUCUUUUAAUUGAAGGCUGGAAUGAAUGGUUGGACGAAAUAUUAACUGUUUCAUUUUAAUUUUUUAUAGAAUUUUAUUUUUUAGUCAAAAAGCUAAAAUAGUAUUAAAAGACGAGAAGACCCUAUAAAUCUUUAUAUUUAAUUUAUUUUUAUUAUAAAGAUUAAUUUUAUUUAAAUAAAUUUAAAUAUUUUAUUGGGGUGAUAUUAAAAUUUAAAAAACUUUUAAUUUUUAAAAACAUUAAUUUAUGAGUAAUUGAUCCAGUAAUAUUGAUUAAAAAUUUAAGUUACUUUAGGAUAACAGCGUAA